rnacentral:sRNA from 1 species
UAGCGAACCCGCGAACACGAUUCAAGGCACUCGCGUGCGAUUCUUGCGCCGCUCCACUCGCCACUGACUGCUGCCCGUCCGGGCAUUUCAAUUUUAACUAACCACUAGCCACUACGCCGUGCUCGGGAAUCAUCGCUGUAAAUCAAUGAUCCGCCCUAUCGGCCAGGGGCAGCCCAGUUUUAUCUUAAUUCCCCCUGACAGCCACCCAUCAGUCGACAUCGGAGCAGAAGCAGGCGAUGCAGCAACUCUGGCCACGAUUUUUGCCUAAGUGGCUUUCGCUGUUGUUUGCGAGAGUUUUUGGCCGCGGUCGGGACAUCCCGGACCGUAGGGUGGGCAGUAUGGUGCGGAGCUGCGGGCAACGGUGGACCCUAGCCGCAAUUGACAAUUUUAAUUGGAGCUACGGACGGGUUCAUCCUUAUCGAUCCACGCAUGAUUCACUCGGAUCUUGACAGCCAUGACCAAGAGUUUAGUUCAAUUCCAACCUGUCGGUGAAUUGCCACUUUUAUCCACUGAUAAUGGAUUAUUCUUUAUGCGCACAUAAGACGAUAUAUUUUUUAAGGAAGAAUAUUGAACUGUGCAAACAUAUAUUAUCUGUAUUUCCCAAACGUAAGUGCUCAUU